CCCAAUUCCAAUCGUUCUUGGCCUUCAUUUGAUAAAGCUAAGGUCAUCCCAAUAAAAUUGGAUAUGAUAAAGUUGAACGUUAUAAUUGAAAGAUGAUGUAGUCAAUUUUAUAUACAAUACCGACAAUUAUAGUUUGAAUACUCCGUUGUCGUAAUAUGUGAAGUCUUGAUUGAGAAUGCUCCAAGCAUUUGGCUGUGGAAGGAAGAAUGGAAAUUGCAAUAACAAAAUCCUAAUUCUAAUAGAAUACUAACAAUGCUCUAAUUAGACCAUAAUAAUGCUAAGCAAGCUUAAUCAAAUUUAAAAAAACCUCAAAGAAAUUUCAAACAAAUAAUAAGAAUUCUUAAAGAAAUAUUAGAAGGAUGACAAAUAUCACUCAAAUACAUCUCAAUUCAAUCUUAAUUUAAUUCUAGUUAAAAUCCUAUUGAACUUCAUUCAAACUUUCGGCCAAAAGUAAUUGAAUCUUAAAUCCUAAUAAAAUCCUAAACCCUGAAUCAUACCCUAAACAAAUCUUAAACCAAAUCCCAACUAAAUCCUAAACCAAAUCCUAAAUCAAACCCUAACCAAAUCCUAAACCAAACCCUAAUCCAAACCCUAAACCCUAAACCAAAUCCUAAUCCAAAUCUUAAACCCUAAAUCAUACUCUAACCAAAUCCUGAUCUAAACACUAAAUCCUAAUCAAAUCCUAAACCUUAAACCAAAUCCUAACUAAACCCUAAAUCCUAAAUCAAAUCCUAAACAAACCCUAAUUUAAACCCUAAAUCCUAAACCAAAUCCUAAACCCUAAAUAAACCCCAACCAAAUCCUAAACCAAAUCCUAGUAAUUCCUAUAAUAGAUUUAAAUCUCAAUAACUAAUGAAUAAACCGUUGAUCUAAACUCAAAUUUUGCACACUUCUAAAAAAAUAAGUUAGAAACAAGCACAAAAAAAUUGAAAAGGAUCGGAAUUACCAAAUUGACGAUAACCUCAAAAAUGUGCUCGUGUAUUGGCUGGCCUCCUUCUCCAAUCUUGAUGCCAAUCUUCCAGAGCCAAUAUCUCUCUUUUGCGCCUUUCGAUUGAUCUCAAAAUUCUCAUACACAUAGAAAAACAAGUCUAAUAUCCUCUAACAUAAGUUUCACUCCAAUCCAACUAGUAGAUUGUAAGAAAUCUCAAAAACCCCCACUGGACCUAAAAUUCUACUUUCUAAGAUCUUAACCCACUUAAAUCUCAAUAUUCCUCAAUUUAACCGUUAGAUCAAGCUCAAAUUUAUGAAACAUAUUAAACAAAAUUAUAACCAUAAACCUACAAAAUUUCACCUAUAGAUCUUUACAAAACUCUUGAAAUCAUCCAAAACAUAAAUCCUAUUUUAUUUCAUAAAACCUAAGUUAUCCGAAACAAAC
rnacentral:lncRNA from 1 species